AUUGAACGCUGGCGGCAGGCCUAACACAUGCAAGUCGAACGAGUGGCGGACGGGUGAGUAAUGUCUGGGAAACUGCCCGAUGGAGGGGGAUAACUACUGGAAACGGUAGCUAAUACCGCAUACCAUCGGAUGUGCCCAGAUGGGAUUAGCUUGUAGGUGAGGUAACGGCUAACCAAGGCGACGAUCCCUAGCUGGUCUGAGAGGAUGACCAGCGACACUAGGACGGAGACACGUUCCAUACUCCUACGGGAGGGAGCAGUGGGGAAUAGUGAACAAUGGGCGAAAGUCUGAUGCAGCCAUGCCGCGUGUAUGAAGAAGGCCGUCGGGUUGUAAAGUACUUUCAGCGGGGAGGCGUUACCCGAAGAAGAAGCACCGGCUAACUCCGGGCCAGCAGCCGCGGUAAUAC
rnacentral:rRNA from 1 species